UCCCUGGUGCCUCAGACGGUAAAGCGUCUGUCUACAAUGCAGGAGACCCAGGUUCGAGCCCUGGGUUGGGAA
rnacentral:tRNA from 1 species